CUAAAACAUGAGUGUUAACUAAAAAUCAUUUCUCAUCAUAAUUCACAUUUAUGGCUUACUUGCAGAUAAACAAAAGCUUCAGUGCUGACAGUUCAAGAAUAAUAUUAAUACCUACGAAAUUUAUAAUGUUUUUGUGGAGAAUACUUCAACUGCUGAUGUGUCUUGCAUUAACUAUCUCAUUAGUUUAUGCACGAGGUGGCGUGCACUUCCGUCUGCCAAAAAAUAACAAAAAUACCAGAAAGAAUCGACAGUUUAGGGCAAUGAAGCCAGCCAACUACCCAGCACAGCCUGCUAAUUUUCAUUCGCCAACUUUUAAUCAACAAUACCAAGGAUUUCCUUAUGAUCCAACGGGACAUGGCGCCCCAGAAUUUUCCUUUUUCUCUACAAAAUAAUACUACAGAAACUUCUUGUGUGAAUUUAUUCAAGGCUUUUAUCAAAGUACCAAAUGACCCUACGAUAUCAUUUACGAUGUAAAAUCUAAACGUCCACAAUGUAUAAAAAUAAACAAGACAAAAGA